GAUUUAGAGAGAUAUCAGAGAUUAAUUGGCAGAUUGAUAUAUAUUUCACACACUAGACCAUAUAUAGCUUUUUCAGUAAGUCUUGUGAGUCAACAUAUGCAUGAUUCUCGUGAAUCUUAUUUAGAAGCCGUUUUUCAUAUUCUAAGAUAUCUAAAAAUUGUUCCCUAGGAGAGGAUUUCUUUUCUCAAAGCAUGGACAUCUUCAAAUAAAAGUCUUUACAGAUACAGAUUGGACUGGAUCUCUUAAUGAUAGAAGGUUAACAAUGGGUCAUUGUACUUUUGUAGGUGGU
rnacentral:misc_RNA from 1 species